rfam:Gossypium raimondii Chr10_contig_449, whole genome shotgun sequence.
AUUUCUUUUAACAUAUCAGGAAGUUGAAUUGGCAGUGAAGAAAGAAAUAGGAAGUUGAAAGCCAUCAUUGCCUAUAACCAAAACCCAUACCAUGCUUCUUUCUUCACUGUCAAUUCGACUUCUUGAUAUGUUAAAAGAAAA